rnacentral:ribozyme from 14 species
UUUGGCAGAAAGCAAGUAAAAGAUAUCGAAGCAGAUAAUAGACCAUCUACCAGAGAUAUCAAGGCCCAGCUUUUGAAGGUUGUUGAAGACUCUCAGCGUGGCCUCUUAACAACCCCAGAGGAUCAAGAGCUUAUAAAUGACUACAUCGCUAAGCUUGAAGCCUGUAGUUUUUUUUUUU